AGCAGCCGCGGUAAUUCCAGCUCCAAUAGCGUAUAUUAAAGUUGUUGCAGUUAAAAAGCUCGUAGUUGAAUUUCGGGGUUCAUACGUUGGUCGGGCUUUUUAGUCUGUACUAGCGUAAUGGAUUCCUACCUUCUGAAUAACCGGCAUGUCAUUAAUUUGGUGCGCCGGGGAAGCAGGACUGUUACCUUGAAAAAAUUAGAGUGCUUAAAGCAGGCUAUCGCCUGAAUACAUUAGCAUGGAAUAAUGAAAUAGGACGGCAUGGUUCUAUUUUGUUGGUUUCUAGGAUCACCGUAAUGAUUAAUAGGGAUAGUUGGGGGCAUUAGUAUUCAAUUGUCAGAGGUGAAAUUCUUGGAUUUAUUGAAGACUAACUUCUGCGAAAGCAUUUGCCAAGGAUGUUUUCAUUAAUCAAGAACGAAAGUUAGGGGAUCGAAGACGAUCAGAUACCGUCGU
rnacentral:rRNA from 1 species